AGUGAACGCUGGCGGUAGGCCUAACACAUGCAAGUCGAACGGCAGCACAGUAAGAGCUUGCUCUUACGGGUGGCGAGUGGCGGACGGGUGAGGAAUACAUCGGAAUCUACUUUUUCGUGGGGGAUAACGUAGGGAAACUUACGCUAAUACCGCAUACGACCUACGGGUGAAAGCAGGGGAUCUUCGGACCUUGCGCGAUUGAAUGAGCCGAUGUCGGAUUAGCUAGUUGGCGGGGUAAAGGCCCACCAAGGCGACGAUCCGUAGCUGGUCUGAGAGGAUGUUCAGCCACACUGGAACUGAGACACGGUCCAGACUCCUACGGGAGGCAGCAGUGGGGAAUAUUGGACAAAGGGCGCAAGCCUGAUCCAGCCAUACCGCGUGGGUGAAGAAGGCCUUCGGGUUGUAAAGCCCUUUUGUGGGGAAAGAAAAGCAGCAGGUUAAUACCCCGCUGUUCUGACGGUACCCAAAGAAUAAGCACCGGCUAACUUCGUG
rnacentral:rRNA from 1 species